AAAAAGUUUUAUUUUGGCUUUAUAAUUUAAUUUAUAAGGAUAUUUUAUACGAAGUAUAAUUCUUGAUGGGAUUGUUGUAGUGAUUAUGUUUAAUAAAUUAAAGGGAUUUAGAAUUAGGUACUUAUAAUAGUAUGGACAAAUUUUGUGCCAGCAGUUGCGGUUAGACAGAAUAUGCAAUUAAAUUUUAGUUUGGUUAGUAAUUAACAUGGUUUGUUUUAGUUAGAGUUUGAUUAAUAAGGUGAAAUUUUUUAUUAAUUUUAAUUUUUAAGAAGGUUUGUGAUUUGCUAAAUUUUGAAAGUAGACUAGGAUUAGAUACCCUAUUAUUAAAAACUUGAAUAUAAAUGCCUGAUUAGUAUUAGUUUUGUUCUUGAAAUUUAAAAGAUUUGGCGGUGUUUUAGUCUAUUCAGAGGAAUCUGCCCUGUAAUUGAUAAUCCACGAUAGGAUGAACCUAUUUUUUUAGUUUGUAUACCGUCGUUAUUUGAAUAUCUUAAAAGAGUUUAAUGUUCAUGAGUUUAAAUAAUAAAGAAUAUCAGAUCAAGGUGCAGUUUAUAGAUAGGGAGAGGUGGAUUACAAUGAAUUUAUUUAGAUGGAUAAUUAAUUUAAAUGUUAAUUUGAAAGUGGAUUUGAAAGUAAUUUGAUUAACUUAAUUUGGAUGAUUUUAGCUCUAAAAUAUGCACAUAUCGCCCGUCGCUCCAACUUUAAAGUUGGAUAAGUCGUAACAAAGUAGGCCUAUCGGAAGAUGGGCCUGGAAUUUC
rnacentral:ncRNA from 1 species